rnacentral:piRNA from 1 species
UAACAGAGGAACACAUACUUUUGUGGUGUC